GGAAUCUUCCACAAUGGGCGCAAGCCUGAUGGAGCAACACCGCGUGAGUGAAGAAGGGUUUCGGCGCGUAAAGCUCUGUUGUUAGAGAAGAACGUGCGUGAGAGCAACUGUUCACGCAGUGACGGUAUCUAACCAGAAAGUCACGGCUAACUACGUGCCAGCAGCCGCGGUAAUACGGAGGGUGCAAGCGUUAAUCGGAAUUACUGGGCGUAAAGCGCACGCAGGCGGUCUGUAAAGUCGGAUGUGAAAUCCCCGGGCUCAACCUGGGAACUGCAUUCGAAACUGGCAGGCUAGAGUCUUGUAGAGGGGGGUAGAAUUCCAGGUGUAGCGGUGAAAUGCGUAGAGAUCUGGAGGAAUACCGGUGGCGAAGGCGGCCCCCUGGACAAAGACUGACGCUCAGGUGCGAAAGCGUGGGGAGCAAACA
rnacentral:rRNA from 1 species